rnacentral:rRNA from 1 species
UACGGGGGGGGCAAGCGUUGUUCGGAAUUACUGGGCGUAAAGGGCUCGUAGGCGGCCAACUAAGUCGGACGUGAAAUCCCUCAGCUUAACUGGGGAACUGCGUCCGAUACUGGAUGGCUUGGAUUUGGGAGAGGGAUGCGGAAUUCCAGGUGUAGCGGUGAAAUGCGUAGAUAUCUGGAGGAACACCGGUGGCGAAGGCGGCAUCCUGGACCAAUAUUGACGCUGAGGAGCGAAAGCCAGGGGAGCAAACGGG